GAAACUGCCCGCCACCGCUCCGCCUUGCCUGCUGGGUUCCCAGAAACAGGCACCCCCCUCCUCCGGGUCAGUGCGCGACCUCCUGGACCAAGCGCGUCCUGAAACCCCGGCGCGCUCGUCCCCGACUUAGGGAGGGGAAAUUGUGGCAGAGCUUGGCUGCAGAGGGGUGAAGGAUGGCGCAGGUUCCCGCCUGUGGCAGGCGGAAAGGAACACAAAAAGCCCCUUUCUGUCCGCCGUCUCUCCCUCCUCUAGGUCUCAUCACGUCUGUACUGAGGAAUGCCUGCGAGGGUGCCGGGAGGCGCGGAGAUGAGAGAUAAAGGAAUGUGGAAAAGAGUGCUGCACGUGGGACGAGGUGGCCGAGUGGUUAAGGCGAUGGACUGCUAAUCCAUUGUGCUUUGCACGCGUGGGUUCGAAUCCCAUCCUCGUCGGUCGUGUUUUACAGUGGAGAUGAUUCUUAAUUUUCACAACCCGAUGUCUGGAGCAGCGGGUCGAAGAGAACUGAACAGGAGGUGGGACCCAGUUCCGCCCGGAUCUUCUGUCUUUGUUCAACCUGCAUUCCUGGCCGUUUCAUACUCCAGGAACUAGAGAAAACCACCCUGGAGGAGCUGCUCUGUCUAAAGUACUGGAACUUGAUGGUGGCAGUGGCGGUGAUGCUUGAUCAUUUAAAUUAUUAAUCUAUUCAGCGCACUGAUUCCCCUCCCCCAGCACUUCUCCCAGGGCAGAGACCUUGUUUGUAUCCACACACCUGCCUCCCUAACACACACACACACACACACACACACACACACUUAAGCAGAAGGCCUCGAAUAUCUAACACCAGUCAGCGUACACAGAAGGUGCUUGAUAAGUGUUUGUGGAAUGAUUGCUCCAUGGACUCUUUCAAAGAGGAGAGGCUGUGGGGAAGGGCAGGUACUUUGAUAUGUAUUGUAGUAACUGUUCGAGCGCUGUGAAUCUUGGAAAGGUGCUUUAGGACAGUCAGGGGAGGACCUGGAACGUCAGGAUAAGGUGUUCGCCGGCUACUCCACACACAGUAGGGAGCCAAGGUUGUUGAGUUGAAGAGUGAUCAGGAGACCUAUAUUCUGCGGCUCCAGCUUGUGGAAUCUGAUGCUGUCUCCAGGUAGACAAUGUCAGAACUGAGUUGUGUUGUAGAGCACUUAGCUGGUGUCAGAGAAUUGCUUGGUAUGGGGGGGAGAAAACCACGCAUCAGAAUUGAUGCCAAAAUUGUCUGUAUAGAAAUAAAACUGAAUUUUGUGUAUUCUUGAA